UCAACCAGGAAAUGACCAUGUUAUUACAUCUAUCCCACAGCCUCUGUUCAGCCACAUUAGUGGUUGGUCGAGGACAUGAGCCAUCAACAAAUUCGAUUUUAUUUUUAGCAGAUAGGGCAACAAUCAUUUUCCCCCUCCAACCUCCAUAACCACUGCCUGAGAAGGGAGUGGACACAAGAGAUACACCAGGAACAUCGGAGGAGUAAAUUAGGAGGGGACUAGUAGAGUUUACGGGGGAGGUAUUAGUAUUCAUAUUAACAGCCAUGAAUAAUGAACAAGCUUAACAACACAGAAAUAGUCUCAAUGAACAGACCACUAUCAAACCAGAACUGGCAUGCAACAUAUACAACACUUAGAACAGAGAAAGUGUUACCCUCCUUCUUCGCGACCGGAGAAGAACGGCCUUCAACCACCGGAUGAAACUAAGUCCAGUCACCGGAGAUUGCAGUUAAACGGAAUCUUACCAAAAUAAGGUCAUAGACGUCGGAAGCUUACCCAAAACGUCUAUCGACCGAAGGCAAAAUCAUAGGAUAACAUCAAAACCCCUGGUCCGAAAGUAGGAAAAUCCUAGAAUUUGAAGAACUCACCGGAAUACGACCAGAGAUGUCGGAAAAUCACCCAAAACAUCUACUGAUACACGAUCAGAGCCUCAAACAGUCAGAAAAGUCCCGAUUAUCCGAUUAACAUUCAUCGAAAAAUAUACGAAC
rnacentral:lncRNA from 1 species